UACGAAGGGGGCUAGCGUUGUUCGGAAUUACUGGGCGUAAAGCGCACGUAGGCGGAUAUUUAAGUCAGGGGUGAAAUCCCAGAGCUCAACUCUGGAACUGCCUUUGAUACUGGGUAUCUUGAGUAUGGAAGAGGUAAGUGGAAUUGCGAGUGUAGAGGUGAAAUUCGUAGAUAUUCGCAGGAACACCAGUGGCGAAGGCGGCUUACUGGUCCAUAACUGAACGC
rnacentral:rRNA from 1 species